GGUGUCCCCAAGGUAUGACUUUCAGAACACACAAAUUUCCCCAGAAAAUUACUGGGUCCUUAAAGACUGGGUUCCUACGGAAGACACACAUGCAAAACACCACAUUGUCUUGUAACAGUUGCUCCCUGCUACCAACACCACCAUCACCACACUCACGGUCAACAUUACCUUCGUGACUGCCGCCACCAUUUCUUAUUACAGCGUCUUUACUGGUAUCUUUCCCAUCACCACCAGCAUUCUCAUCGCUAACUUCAUCCCUGUCUGUCACCGUUAUCAUCCACUAUAACCAUCAUCGUCAUUACCACCUUUUACUGCCAGUGUCACCACUGCCCCAGCCACUACUACACCUCUGUGGCUGCCUUUGCUAUCACUUCAGGUCUCCUGGUGAGUAACACCACUGCUACUGACCCCAGUGAUCCAGUGACCAGAGACCUCGUCUUCAACCCAAAGCGGGCCUGAAUACUAUGCUUAUCUCUGCUGCCCCAGGAAGGAAGCACCCCACGCUACAGCUCAGAUCAGGUGUUCACCCACACAGGUAGAGGCCCUGGAGAGAAUGGGGCUUAGUUCACACCCUGGUUUCAGCAGAACCUGGGGCUCCAUUUAGAAGGGACCAGGGUGCUCACCCAUGGCGUGGGUGGCUGAUGCUGCUGGGUCCGGAUGACCUCACCUCUAAGACAGUCCUUCUACCAGUUUGAUGCAAGACUGGAUGAAGGUAAAAGGAGCCAAUGAGGAGAAACCUGAGCGCAACAGUAGCUCCCAGGAGGAGGAUGUGAUUAGCCUAAGCCGGGAUGGUUUUGAGAAGGAGGGCAGCAGAUGAUACCUGAGGGACAAGGUCAGACAGAGGGGAGGGGUCCCAAGUGGGAGCUUCUGCAGGGACAGAGGUGUGGCUUGGAGAUGCGUGGGGGCAGGUCAGGGUGAGCAGCUUAGCUAGACCUUUGUUCUGCCCAAGGAUUUGGGCCCCAGCUGCUAAACGGCAUGGCCACGCCUCUUCCACAGAGCUCCUUACUUCUACCCCAAUCUUUCCUCUCAGCUCUAUGAGCCCCAGUCAGUAUUCUCAUUCUACAGACAAGGGGACCAAGACUCAGAGAAUGUGAGUCACUUACCCAAGACUAUGCAGCGAUGGAAUGGCAGAGUUCUACCCAGAAUAUGCCUUUAUCCACGCCAGCACCAGCCUCUGACCUCACUGCCUUCCUGGCAGCGAGGCUAAGGGAUGAAGCUGGACCAAGGUGAAGCCAGGGCUCCCCACAGAGGUCAUCCGGAAGAGUGGGAAUUGAAGCCAUAUAUUUCCACCCAGGAUGUGGCUUUGAGUGGAUGCCUGAGACUGCCCGCUAGCUUUGGUGGCUGCAACGUGGGUACUACCCUGGACAUAAGGCUGGGCACCAGCUGCCCAGGGGUCAUGUUGAGAGCCUUGGCAAAAGUGACAACCAGACAAAGGCCCGGAGGUGGAAGGCAGGGUGGGCACAGCCUGGUUGCCAGGUGGAAACGCCCAGUGUAAAAGCUGUUCUGAAUACUGGCUGCGCCCCGCUGCUGCAAUCAGCCACGACACUUGGUUAUUAUGAGGAGUAAAGGCGGCCGGCGGGACAGCUGGAGCCGUGGCGACAACAUUUAAGGCGUUUGUCAGAGCUGUGGGACACGGGCUGCCAGGCGCUAAUGGCUUCUGUGUGCUGCUGCCAAGUGAGAGGAGGGCGGGCAGGCAGAGGCGGCCUUGCUCCUGCCUGGGCCUCGUGCCUACCUCAUGCUGCGUAGCCGCUCCAUGACAGGUAGGCCCCACCUGGGCCCUUCAGAUGCCUAGCAACCACCACAUAGCCUUGGUACCAGCUGGAGAGGGUGAGUGGGGGGGGGGUAGCCGUGCAGGAUGUUCCUGCCUAUUUAGGGCAUCUAUACCAUGCCCGCUUCCACUCAGACUUCAGCUCCCCUCCCCACUGGGACAAGGGUCUGCGAGUCAGUUCCCCACUAUGCCAUACCUAAGGAAGAGAGACUCCUAAAUCAGGCUGGCUCAGCCUCUGCUUCCUCAGCCUUUUGGGUUGGACUUUGUUUGAGAAAGAACCUCCAGAGAGAUUUCAGCUUUUCGAGCCUCAGUUUUCCUUCCCUGUAAAAUGGGAAAAUAAAAGUAUCUACUUUUGACUGUACUGACAAGAAAACAGAGGAGCUGGGUGUCAAGCCACAUGCUGAUAAUCCCAGCACUUGGGGUUCAUAGUGAGGGGCUGGGCGUGGCCUCAGGAAUUCCUGCACCUGGAAGAACAUACCUAUCGGACUCAGCACCACAGUGUGCUGCAACAGGUGAUGACAUCACCGAGCCGCAGGGCUGCUCACUAACCCCCCCUCAAAGCAGAUCCAUCCUCACCCCAUUGUGCAGAUGAAGCUGGGGCUCAGAAGUCCUCAGUCUCCAGUCACAGCUCAGGGGUUCUCCCAGGGGCUGUGUGGGUACAUCCCUCACCCUACUUGCUGGUUAGCUCAAGAGAUACUACGAAGCUCCUCUCAGGCAGAAAGGGAUUUUCAGCUGGCCAUGGGUCAGUAAUAUGAAUAGGGAAACACCGUGGAUCUGGGAAGAGACUCAAGGGGCAGGAGAUCAUCUUAGUGGCCCAAGCUCUUUCCUAGGCUAGACUAAGACUGGAAGCAGCAAGAGGACCCUGAAGGCCAAGUGUAGAGGCACACACCUUUAAUCCCACCACUUGAGAGGCAGAGGCAGGAGCAAGGCCAACCCAGUCUACAUAGUGAGUUCCAGGACAGCCAGAGCUACAUACUGAGACCAUGUCUUUAUAAAAAACAGGGGGAAGGGGCUCUAAAGAAGGUAUAUAAAGCGUUGUGUUCUGCCCAUGGUCAGCCAGAAGACCUCUUCCAAGAGUGCUCUGUUGAUAGGUAUAGCUUGGGACCCUCGUGGCACAAGGGACCGGGACUGGGGGCACUGCUAUAGUUUAGUUGUUGAUCACUGACCCUUUGGAAGCAGCUGCCAGGGCUCUGUCUUUUUACAUUUGUAUUUUCUAUGUCUGCAUGUUUUGUCUGCAUGUAUGUCUAUGUAUCACAUGGGUGCAGGACCCACCGGAGCCAAAGAGAGCCUUUGAUUUCCUGCAACUGGAGUUACAGACAGUUGUUAGCAGUCAUGUGACUGAGAACUGAACCCAGGUCUAGAAGAGCCACGAAUGCUCUUAACCACUGAGCCAUUUGUCCAGCCCCCAGCAGCUGUCCUGAUAGAGGCCACUGCCUGCAAUGGCUCCCCCUGGAGGAACACAGUAGAGUCAUGGGCUCAGGCAGCAUAGGCCUACCAUGCACAUCUGUAAAGGGCUUGUAGAAAAAUGCUGUCCGCAUCUUCAUCCCACUUCCGAGAAGGAAAAACCAAGGCAAAGGGAGAGCAGAAAGGCUGGCCUGGGUCAUGCUCAUCUUAGGGUCUGCUUCACUUCUUUGAACCCAUGGAGCUAGGAGCUCGCCAUGACAAUCCAGCCCAUGUAGAGGCCUCCAGGCCACCUCAUUCAGAGCCCAUUGCUUUGCCCAGAUCACUCCCAGGGUAAGGUCUUUCCCAACACUCUGGAGUCCUACGCUGCUACCUUACUUCCUAGGCCACCUCCACAGGAAAGGGGGUGACUAUGGUCUCUUGGCUCUCUAUUGAGGGAUACAAGGGGAUGUUGGGUUUGUGGCUAGUAGAGAGUGGGCGAGGUUUCAUCUGACUCUGUGACCAUCAGCUUUGCCAUCCUGGGGGUGAUAGGCUUUGGGUUAGAGAAAGAGGUAGUGUGCAUGUAUGAACAUAUGUGAAUGUGUGUAGACACGUAUGAGCACGGGAAAGCAUACACCCAUGUACGCAUGCCCACAUGGUAUCUGAGUCUUCAUGUUUGGCCGAACAACUAUCUUUGUGUGCUUGACCAUUUCUAAGGUGCUGGGAGAUAGGGUUUUCUUCUGGGGAUGGAGGGGAAGGGGUGACUUAGCGCUGGGUCCUAGACACACAGGUCUCAGCCCUUGCUACUGAGGCGCAGCCAAGUGGGUUUUCCUGGCUUGGGCCCAGGGGUCCCCUUCUCCAAUGCAACCUCCAUCUGUCUACCGCUUGUCCUCCCUCCUGGCCUUCGCCCUAGCGUCUGAUCACCUUGGUUUUUGUGUUAUCUUGUUGCCACAAACACCACAAUGAGGGACAAAUGAAAAGGUGACCCUGAGGGUUCUCCUUCUUUCUGCUAACGGCCGACACUAUUUGUGGUGUGUGUUGGGUGCUGGAGACACAAGAAGGUAAGUAGGCUCUGGCCCCAACCUCACAGAGCUCAUAGUACAGGGCUUCCACUAGUUUCUAUACACCGCAUCACCAUCCUGUGAGCCCCUAACCCCUGGGCAAAUUAGAUGAGGCUCUCAGGAGAAUUGACCUGAACCUGACUUGACCUCUGGUUAAAAUACAAAACCCUUAGCUUUCAGGUGGCCCAGUGCCACAGCCUGUCUGCUCAGCUAGGCUGGGUGCCUGAUCCUGGACCCAGCCUCUUAUCUCGUCCCUUUUGCACCGUCUUUAUUAUUCAUAUUGUAUAUGAAAAACCACUCCACGUGCUGCCAAAUGAACUGAGGAAUAGGCCCAAUUAAAGCGCCUUUCCCCCACCAGCCAGGCAGCAGAGGCGGUGGGUGAGGUGAGGUUGGACUGACUGUAGGGCCCUGUGCCGAGCCACCACCCCGACUAGACAGAGGCAGGCCAGCAUCUGGCAGGCGCAGCCGUCUCCCUGGAAAACGAGAUGCUUCUUAUUGAGAUAACGAAUCGCUCCAUUUAGAUCCAAAUUAACCUCCCCCAUUCCCCCCCCCCCCGCUCUCCACCGCAUUUCACCAGAUCGAAACCCUCUCUGCCCUCACAGCUGAGUGCCCAGCCUUUCCAGGUCCCGUGCUUCCCAAAGUCAGGACAGCUCGGCAGCCUCAGCCGGCCAGUGGGCGCCCUUCCUGCAAUGGGUCACGUUCCCUUUUCUUUUUCUUUCUUUCUGUUUUUGGUGGGGGUGGGGUGGGGUGGGGGUGGGGUGGAAAGCUUGAUGCAGCUGCUGCUCUGAGGAGUGGGAAUUUUUAUUUUAUUUUUUUUUUAGCUCAUUCUUUGAAAUAAGGAUGCAAUAUGGGAUCAAUUUUUGAUGACAGUGAAGUAAGAGGGGAAAAUAGUAGCAAUUUUCUCUUCUGAACAUGCCCUAUUUAAUGGAAGGAUGUCAAGGUGGGGCUUUAUACAGAGGAGAGACCGCGUGUUCCCAGGGACACAUGGUCAAUCAGAAAUGCCUGGUGUGAUCUCCGUUUGAGGGUGGCUGGGAACCCCUCCCCAUUCCCUAGUGUCUUCCAUUGAGGGGCUACCAGGGGCCCAGAAGUGGAGCAGGGAAAGGCUGAGUUUCUGUUCCCCUUCACCUGACUCCACAAUGGACCCUUUGUGCUCUGCAGGUCUCAGUUUGCACCAGGAUUCUAGAGCCAGAGACCCCAGGGAAUCUUUGGUUAAUUAGGGUUAUAAAAUCCCGCCCAGCUGCGGGUGCCUUUACAUUAAACCCAGGAAGCUGAGCUUUAGUUGGCCGGAGCUUCAGGGUAGGGGGUGGGAAGAGGGUAAGGACCUGGUGGGGACCGGGUCGAAUCCCUGAGCUGGCAGAGCUGGGAUGGGCAGCACACCCAGCCUAUUGUCUGGAGGUGCAGGAUGGUGGCUGGGGGAGGGCCUGGGAGAGGGGCGGAGGAAAGGGCUGUUUACAGAGGCUACUGAAAGCAACUGCCAAGCCCCCACUCCUAGUGUCAGAGGGGAACUGCCACAACCCCAUUCCACCAGUGUAAGAGACAAUUCAGAAGAUUCAGACCCCGGUCGUGUGCAGUCACAGUUGAGGUUCAGGCCCAGAUUCGAAAUGGACCAGAGGUCAGGGUUUCUACCUCAAAAGCCACCUCCUAAUUCAAUUUCCCUCACUGGACUCUGGGGUUCUCGGGCAGCAUCUGAAUGGUGCCAUGGCCGUUACUGGCCCGUUCCUUCUGAGGUCUAGUCCUCUAUGCCUUGCUGUCUUCCAAGGCUUCCUUCCCCUUGCAAUAGCAGCAGCAGUACACCUUGAGGCCCAUGCCCCACAAAUAUAUAUCAGAUUCACAAAACCACACCAGACUGUGUGACUUGAAACAGCACUCAGGCACACUAAAUUCCCGCAGACCUGCACAGAGCUGUGGUUCCAAAGAUAUGUGCCCCCGCACACCCACCCCCCGCCCGCCACCCGUGAACCCACUAAACACAAGCAGUUCGUAUCCCAAAUGUGACCUUCUGGAGUCUUUGCUAUAAGGUCAAAGCGGUGCGGACACAAAAGGCCUUGCUGCUCCGCCAGACUACCACACAUUACAGAAACCUAGGGGUGGGCAGGCCAGGUCUUAAUCCAAAAAUGUCUGCAGAUCCAAGGAGGGCCCGCUGGGGCCUCUUGUCUCAGCACCUGCCCGUCAACAGACUCCGCCCAAAGCCACGCCCGCCACCUUCUUUCCUUCUUUGGCUGUGGCCGGGCCUCUGAAAUAAUUAGCAAUUCUGCUCGACAAAACGCAAGCCCGAUGGGAUAAUAAACUCCAACAUCUGUCAGAAGAGCGAGCUCCUAUGGAAUUGCCAAGAGAAACAUUUUUCUCCUCAUUCAAUUCACAUUUAAAUCGAAAACAACCCCUGCAAGUCUGCGCCAGGCCUGCGGCGCGGGGCUCCGGGAGCCCACAAGCUGUUCCUGGGCCUGCAAAGAGGCUUGGACGAGUGGCGAUCACUCACUCAAAUUAACAAAUCAUUUUAUUUAGAAAUGAAGAGAAUUUGUAAGUGACGGAUGGCCUCAGGGCCACUGAGGAGGAGGGAAAGCCUGCCACUGGUCCACCACACAAGGUAGGCAGGCUCUAUGCCCCCCUGAACAGAAAGAGCACAGGGCAGAGGAGCCGGCACUCUCCACUUUCACAGCUGCCCAGUAUGACAGACAAGCUAGGAAUCAUGUUGCCACUCUAUGGGGGGUCCAUGGAGGACCGGAGGAUGCCCUGGAUCUCCAUUUCAGGGUGUCUAGCCAGGGCUGGCUCUACCCCAAAAGGAACCUCUCAGGCCUGCAAUUCAACCUUUGGGCUGUAGGGAGCGCUGUGCAGAGCGGCAGGAGCCUCUUCAAGGUUGGAUUUGGAUAUGGAAAAGCCUUGCCAAUAGAAUUAUACUCCUGUUACAGGAGCACCAGAGACUUGAGUUCUAGGUCCAGGGCUGCAGUUAUACCAUUUUUAUAAUGAACGGUAUACACCUGGAUUGUCAUGGGCCUUCCCAUGUACGAGAACCUCUGAAAGUGAGCUACCAAACACCAAAUAAUGACAAGCUGGGGACAGGGCCCAGACCUUGCUAGACCCUCUCAGGGCUCUACGUGUCUCCAUUGUACCUCCGCUCAGGGCUUGUGAGGUGCCUGCAUGCUAGCAAGCUCUCACAGGACUUAGCUUUUUGUUCUGCCAUCUUUCCUGCCUUCUGUGAGAAGCAGGGGUAUUUCUCCCCCUCUUUUCAAUCACAGUGGUCUCAAUGCCCAGUUACUAUUUCUUCUUAAAUAAACAAAUGAGGGCUGGAGAGAUGGCUCAGUGGUUAAGAGCACCAACUGCUGUUUCUAGAGGUCCUGAGUUCAAUUCUCAGUAACCACAUGGUGGUUCAUAACCAUCUGUAAUUGGAUCUGAUGCCCUCUUCUGGUGUGUCUGAAAACAGCUACAGUGUACUCAUAUAAAUGAAAUAAAUACAUCUUAAGAAAAAAUAAACAAAUGAUUGGAUGGAUAGAAGGGACUUGGCUGCCUAGACGUGUAUGAGACAGGGGGCACUGACUGUCUGUGUACUGGGAUACAUUUUGAUAUCCUUAUCCUUUCGAAUGGACCAUUCCUUCUGCCCAGAAUGCCAUUCCUCUCCAUCUCAUCCCUGGGCCUCUUCAGCUCAGUCACCCUCGUUUUGCACCCUUGUCCCUGCUAUGGCUACAGCUCACUCUGAACCAGUCCCCCCGCCCCCACCCCAGUGGUGGAGACUGAACAGAGGACCUCACACACACUAGGCUGUGCUACAGCCCCAGCCUUAGACCAGAUUUCCCCAAGUCAGCUGGGACCUGGCUCCUCUUUGUCCUUCCUGAAGCUAUGGUUGGGUCUCUUGUCUUAUUUUUCGAGAUAAGGUCUCUUAUUAGACCUUUAGCCCACCUAUUGGCUAGACUGGUUGACCAGCAAGCUUUACUGAUCCUCCUGCCUCCACCUUCCUACUGCAGGGUUACAGGUGUGUGCCGCCUUGCUUGGCCUUUGACAUGGGCUCCAGGGUCCUUAACGUAGGUGCUCAUGCUUGCUGUGCCAACUGAGCUAUCUCCCUAGCUCCUGUUCAUUUAUUUAUUAGUAAAUAAAUAGCUCAGGCUAGCCUCCGGCUCACCAUAUUCUUGAGGAUGACUUUGAACUUCUAACUGUUCGGCUUUUACCUUUCACGGUCUGGUAUAGCAGGCGUUUGCUGCCGUGCUUGCUUUCUGCCUUUCCUAAAUGGCCCCCGGGUUUCUUUAAUUCCCUAUUACUGUGGAGAUAUCCCCUUUAGCAUUCACUCACAGGUGAGGUGAGGUGCUCUCAGGGGUCUGCUAAGCAGGAGGCAUGCAGUGUGUCUCAGGAGGGAUAUCGAGGGCAGCCUAGAAGGCAAGUGAGUGAGUGAGUGUGUGUGUGUGUGAGUGUGUAUGUGUGUGAGUGUGUGUGUGUGAGUGAGUGUGUAUAUGUGAGUGUGUGUGUGCGCAUGAUUUCAUAGCUCCAUAGGGCUGAUACCUCCAUCUCAGACCCUUCUCUGGGACCUCAUGGCUUUGACUAUUGCUAUUGCUUCAGAUGGGAGUAGAGGAGGGAGGGGGAAGAAAGGGGUCCCCUAAAGGCAUUCCAACCUUUGAUAAUUCCUCUGUUCCUCUCAUGGCUGGGGCCUGCCUGGCUUGAAUUUGGAGUUUCUAGGCAUCUGGGGACCUAUGUGGGGAGGGCCUCUGCCUUGAGGGCAAAGAGACAAAGAACCUACUGGGAACAUCUCAGGGUAAUACCUGGAUAUCCCUGGGUAAAUUUGUGAGUUCAUGACUCACUCAAACUGCAGAGGUGUGGAGGAGUACUAGGAGUAUGGGGGUGGAGACUCAACUCCAUUUCCUGGGAUAAAGAGCUUUUGGGAGAGAGUAUCUAUACCAAAAUUCUCUAGAGAUGGGGCCAAGAAACCGGUUAGGUUUCAGCAAGUGCAAUCAUGGUUUGACCCAAGAAAGAACUUUUAAACAAUUCUAACUGUGAAGCAGGGAUCUGGAGACAUGGUGGCACCUCCCUCUAGAGUCAGCAUAGACUAACAGGUCACUUGCCCGGAGAAAGAGCUGGACCAGCCCCCUCCAGUCUAGUGAUUAAAGAUUCUGUUUUGGUUCCCUGAUGUCAUGAACCUGAAUCUUCAGCAUCCCCGGGGCCUUGAACUUGUGAGCCAAGAUCUGAUAAUGUGCCCCUGAGCUCUAACUUGGGAAUUUGACAUGUGAUGCUGUGGUGACCUCACUGGUGACCUUGAGAUUCCUGGUAUCAGUCCUGAGCUGUAACUUGCUUGGUGGGUACUUCCUUAGUUUGCAAGCCAUGGACUCACAUAUGACCCUGAGGCCACCAAGCCAACAGCACCUUCACGGAGAAGCAGGUGGCCCCUUUACUCAGGGAAGUCCCGGCCUGUUUAAUGGGCACAUGCUGUGUCCCUGAAUGUCUAUACAGGACGGAGUGGUGGCACACACAAGGACUCCAGAAGCUUCACACUGAACGUGACUGGAAAUUAUUUCCCUGGCAGAAUUGAGAAGCUAUGGUGAGGGGCGGGGCAGCCUCCUCAGGGCUAGGGCUUGGUUCCCAGGACCCACCCGAGGAGACCCAGACAGUCCUGACCUCCACUCCUUGCCUUCCCCCCCAUUCUAUCUUCUAAGAGGGAAGUCAUGGGGAAGUAACCCUUGAAGGGAGAAAAGAGAAUGUUUUUAAUUAAAAGUUUAAAAGGAUUCACAUCCCGAGGGAAUCACAGCAAGAAAAGGCGGGGAGACAAGGGGUGGGCAGGGAGCAGAAAAGUAGGCCAUGCCAGCUAAAGCUCCAACCAGUUCUUCCAGUUGCCUUGUGCAUUGCACAGCUUCAGUGGGCUUGGGCCCUGUGCAGCGCAGCCUUAGUCAGGGAAGGGCUUGGCUCUGAUCGCUGGCCUGAGACAGUUCUGAUUAAAAGCUUAAAGCCGGUCAUGAUGGCACAUACAUAUUACUAACACUCAGGAGGCUGAGGCACAAAGAUCACCAACUGGAGGCCAGCCUGGGCUACCUAGGAUGACCCUGUUUCAAAACAAUAUUAAAAACCAAUCAGCUUAAACUGAGGUCUUAAACUGUUCCCUCUGCCUAGCCUCAGACAUUUCUGAUCCCAGGACAAUGAGGCUGGUCUGGAGAUGUCAUGUUUGGCUAAGGGCCUAGGUGCAUGCCACCCACUGUGGAAUUCUAAGGGUAACCUGUCCGUAGUCGAUGGCUCCAAGCAGCCCCUGCCUGAGGGUUCAACUGUCACCUCUGCCUACUUCCAUCCACCUUGCCUGCCACACCCUCAUCUCUCACAUGCUGCAUCCUGAGUGGGCAACACCACCAUGCAUUUUACUAGUCUGAGCCCUGCAGUUGGACAGUGCCUGGGUGGGAAUAAAACAGGCAAAUUCUCUUGGGAAGAGACUCUAUGAGGUCUGUGCAGUCCCUUUUUCCUGGCAUGAGUUGAGCUCUGACAUCUUCAGCUCGAUUCACUGAUUUCCGUUUACUUAGCAGGCUGGGGCUGGAAUGUAUUAAGGGGGGAGGGUGUCACUGCUUGUGGGGGGAGGGAGGCAAAGCUGACCUAUGAGAUGUUCCUACACCCAGAAGUCUCUCUCUACCCUAACCCUUUCCACCCUUUCCUGGAAGAGAAAAAGGUGAACAGAAAAUAUGACAGAUGUAAUAGUUUACGAAAUGAACUAAUUACAUGGUAGUCACACAGAGAGAUGAGGUUAGCAGAGGAACCUUGGAUAAAAGGAAGCCCAGGUGUGCAGGCCAAUGGAAGGAAAAGGUCGGUGUCAUUGGGAUAUUGUGGAACUUGGUAUUCCUGCCUGAGGCUUGGAGAACGGGAGCAAUGGCCUCCUGAAUUAGACCAUAGUCACGAAUCUGGGUUGUCUCUACAGUCCAUAGACCUCCUGGCUCCAACUCUCUCCAAGUUGCUAGGACCCUAGAGCCUAUCUAAAAACUGGCUAGAAGCAGGACCCUGAGGUCCCCCAGCUCUGGGGGUCAGGAGGGCUGCUGGCCCUGUGAACUUCAGGCAAGACUGUAUGCAUUCACUGUGAAGUUACACAAGACCCUGGGAUUUGAGAGUCUAUGCUCUCACCACCCCUUGCCCAUGAAAGCCCGACUGCUACACCCCAUAAGCUCCAGGCUUGCCUCUUGGUGAGGAGACCAGCAGGCACUUGAGGAAGGUCUCACCAUGCAGCCCACGCUCCUACCUUUUACAUGUCAGCCCCAGGAAGUGUCCCAGGCUCCUACCUCCCUGCCCCACUGCAGCCAAUCCACUCAUGAGGCCCCACUUGAUUCUAAGGUUCCUCCCUCUUCCACAUAAGGCUGUAGGCCUUCAACCCCUCUCUUGACACCUAUGAUCGUCUUUCUUUUCCCCUGAGUAGCCCCACUUCCCGUGAGUGCCCCACUUUCUGUGUUGGAGACUAACUGCCCACUCACUUUAGAGCUCAGGCACCUAGCUCUGCUCCUCUCUUCUAAUGAAGUCGUCCUGGACUCAGCUGGGUCAUCUACUAUCCUAAGGCUCUUUCCUCUUUCAGAAUCUUUCCCCUGCUCUCUGAGGGACAAAUGUAAUGCCCCAAGUUAUCCUAUAAGCUCCACAUGCCCGAGGACCAGGUAACCUCCCAGGGUGCUGGGAGUUGUAGUUUUUUUGUGUUUUGUUUUGUUUGUUUGUUUGUUUUUGGAACAUAACAGCAGCUUCAUGGGAGAGUAUGGUAGCCUAUGGGUUUGUGUUUAUAACUCCUGUUGCACAUGUCUUGUUGCCACUUAGCUGGAAAAUUCCAGGGAAUGGUCCUGACCAAAGUCCAUCUUUUGGUCAAUAUUUAAUAAAGUUUGCUUCAAAUCCA